rnacentral:lncRNA from 1 species
GGCUUAGUUAAGGUAUACUCACAUGAUAGGGUAUUAUACAAAUAUUAAAAAUGGCAUUUUUGAACAAUAUCUAAUAAGUGAAAUGCUUAAGAUAUCAAGAAAUUAAAAUGUAGGCUAUAAAAUUCUAUACAAUAUUACCUCAACUUUGAAAAACAUUUACAUAUUUAAUACAUCUACAUGCAUAGAAAAAAAAACUAAAAGAUAGCAAAUCAAUUAAUCUACGAGGAAUUAAAAUUUUUUGUUUUUUUGACUUUCAAAGUUUCUUAUGUUAUAUACAGAUUAAUUUCUUUCAAGAACCAGAAGCUAAAGAGAACCAAAAUCUGAAAGACCCAUCCUGUGGCAGUCACUGAGCUAGGAGAAUUUUACCAAUUAUUCAAUCUCCAUAGUAAUCAUGAGAGGUAGGAAUCUCAAGUCCAUCUUACAGAUGAGGAACUAGGCUCCACAAUUUAAGUAAUUGCUCAGGGUGCCACAGAUUCGAGCCUAGGCAGUCCCCAUGUUUCCUGCUGCACCAAAUGCCUCACCUGCUGUGGCUCCUAAUAGGACGUUGGGAGACUUACAACAAAGGUCAUUGACAAAACAGAGCUGUGUAUAGCUUUCCCAAGAGCAAUUGCUUUCUAAACUCUCUAUUUCUCUCUCAAAGCAGAAAACUCUUUUAAAUCCCCUGGACAAGAAAUGGAAUCUUCUUCACUGCUAGGGCUCGAGGUUCCAUCCCAAAGCAGUUUUGAUCCAGACGCCCAGCUCCACAAGUCUGUGCCCUCUCAGAGCCUACUCCCUCAUAGCCGUGGUAUCAGCUAUCCUGCUUACUAGUUUGGCAUUUUGUCAGGUACUGCCUUGGAGAGAGCUGCCCAACCCCCCAGCUGGCUCUGUUCCACAUGGAUCCCAGUGAUACUGGGAUACUGCACAUCCUCAUGAAGGACAUAGAGGUAGAAUUUUCACUACUGUUCCAAGACCUCUUCAUCGCUUCCUGUUC